GAGGUGGCUCGGCUUCCCGCUACAAGAAGUAAAUCCCCAAAUCCAGCCGUUCCCUAAUCACCAUCACGGCUCCCACCACUAGAAUGAACCUGUGAUCACCACCUUAGAAACAAGCCCAGAAUUGCUUGCUGGAUGAUGAAGGACUCACAGCCAACAACCAGUCAACUGCUACACGUCACGGCAUUUCUCUAACGAUGUGCCUCUCCCAGCUGGCAGCAGCCUCUCCAGCCUGGCCAUGACCCUGACAUCCAAGAGAACCUUGCACAGUUUGGGAAUAGCUUCUCUGAGCCAAGCCUUACUCUGCAACCUGCAAGUGAAAUGAGAGGAAAUUCAAGAGACCAAGAUACAAAGCCAGACCAAAGGGUUUUACUGCCCCUUCAUUCCCGCUGGAGAUAAAGAUUACUGGUACACUGGUUCUCGCUUUCCAUCAAAGCAAGGAUUCCUUUCAACAUCCAAACAGUUGUGAGGUCCUGAACUGCUGAGCUCACCUGGCCUAGGGGCACUCAAAAGGUGUUUGUCUGCAGCCCACAGCCAGGGUCUGUGGGUGUAUUUGAGUAAAUGUUUCCAAGGAUGGCAGCAAUCUGCUCACUUGUAUUACAUCCAUGGGGCAGAAA